rnacentral:rRNA from 1 species
CCUACGGGAGGCUGCAGUGGGGAAUAUUGCACAAUGGGGGAAACCCUGAUGCAGCAACGCCGCGUGCGUGAUGACGGCCUUCGGGUUGUAAAGCUCUGUCUGCAGGGACGAUAAUGACGGUCCCUGAGGAGGAAGCCACGGCUAACUACGUGCCAGCAGCGGCGGUCAUACGUAGGGGGCGAGCGUUGUCCGGAUUUACUGGGGGUAAAGGGGGAGUAGGCCGACUUUUAAGUGAGAUGUGAAAUCCUCGGGCUCAACGUGAGGGCUGCAUUUCAAACUGGAAGUCUAGAGUGCAGGAGAGGAGAAGGGAAUUCCUAGUGUAGCGGUGAAAUGCGUAGAGAUUAGGAAGAACACCAGUGGCGAAGGCGAUUCUCUGGACUGUAACUGACGCUGAGGCUCGAAAGCGUGGGGAGCAAACAGGAUUAGAUACCCUUGUAGUC